rnacentral:rRNA from 1 species
AUGGGCGAGAGAGUAUGUGCCGGCGAUCUCGUCAGAGUCUACAAGGGCGAAAGGCCGAGCUGGGUUCGGCCGGCGCCGUGUCGUGGGCAGAUAAAGCUGAGGAUAGCGCACAUCGUGAUGCACUCCGUCGCUUCGGCGCUCCUGACUACGUUGCAGCUUCCUGUUCUGGAUCACAAGUGA